rnacentral:lncRNA from 1 species
AUGGCCACGUGUAAAAAUGGCUCCACAAACAAAAUGGCAGAAAGACCAACCCUUGUUGUUCGUCUAGUAAUGGCAAUUCCUCAGAGCCCUAACUGGCAUGACCAUGAGAACCAGCCUGUGCUGUGGCUUCUCACUAAGGAGGAAGGAGCGGUAACCUGCCUGAGAGCUGAGGCCAGUCCAUCCAGGGUGAGAAAUUUCUGUAUCUCGUUGAUCAGCCACCUGCAGCCUUCCUCAGUUCAGCCACUGUGGGGAGGCAGCAGAGGGUGGAAAGUCCGUGGAAAGGCAGUGUCUGCCGUCCUUCAGGACAAGCCAUCUUGUGCCUCAACUCAGAGAUGGACACAGGGGACCUCCAUAGUGGCUGGAUACCCAGUUAGGAAGACAGGGGCCAUAAGUGAAUGGCUCAGGGCAUAUGUGAUGGUUAAUUUUAUGUGUCAACUUGACUGGGCCACAGAAUACCCAGAUGUUUGGUCAAGCAUUAUUCCAGGUGUGUCUGUCAGGGGGUUUUUGAGUGAGAUUAACACUUGAAUCAGUAGACUGAGUAAAGCCGAUUGCCCUCCCCAAGGUGGGUGGGCCUCACCUGAUCAGUUGGAGGUCUGAUUAGAACAAGAAGGCUGACCAUCCCUUGAAUAAGAGUGAACUUCUGCUUGACUGCCUUCAAGCUGAGACCCUGGCUCUUCCUGGGUCUGUAGCAGCCAGCUGGCCUUCAGACCGGACCUGGGACAUUGGCUCUGCAAAUUUUGGAUUUACCAGUGUUCCUAAUUGCAUGAGCCAAUUUCUUAAACUAGAUCUCCAACUCUCUCUCUCCCUGUACAUAUCAUAUUGCUUCUGUCUCUCUGGAGACCCCAACUACUACAGCAUGUCAAUGAAUGAUUUCUGUAAGUGGAGAGCUGCUGCAAGGGUCUCUUUCGUAGCCUCCUUCUCGGCUCUGCCCUGAAGGCUCUGUAUGGUUGAGAAGUCUGUGCACUGCACAAGGUAAUCAAAGGCUCAGGUAGGAGCUGACCCCCAGCUCGUGCUCUGCGUGCCGAGCUGUGUGCCCUAGUGUGGGGCCAAGCCUGUCUGAAGGAAAGAGCGCCUUCUACUUUUCAGAAAGGCAAGGCCUAGAAGGGACUCAGGCGAUGGCUGUCCUGCCAUCUGGAGAAGCUAAUGAGGUGGGGUGUGUAAAGCCCAGGCCCACAGUUUCUUGACACUCAGGGGACAUGCCCCAUGUGGUCCAAGGUGAUGUUUCCGAGAAGCACCCGUCUGGGUGGGGGACUGGGGUUUGUAGGGCUUGAAAGUGUCUAUGACGCUGCCUUUCAGGAUUUUAGCUUUCCUGGAGCCUUUACUGAGGGGGCACCAGGCCUCCCAGUGGCCAGCUGGCCAUGUCAUCCAGUGCUGCCCUCUCAGCUCUGC